UACAGAGACCUCAAGCGUUAUCCGGAAUCAUUGGGCGUAAAGCGUACCGAUCGGUGGUUUUACAAGUCAGAGGUGAAAUUCCAAGGCUCAACCUUGGGACUGUCCUUUGAAACUGUAAAACUAGAGGGACAAAGAGGAAGCUAGAACUAACGGUGUAGGGGUAAUAUCCGUUGAUAUCGUUAGGAAUACCGAUAGCGAAGGCAGGCUUCUGGGUGUCACCUGACACUGCUAGGACGAAAGCGUGGGGAGCAAAAAGG
rnacentral:rRNA from 1 species